AAGUCGUAACAAGGUUUCCGUAGGUGAACCUGCGGAAGGAUCAUUACCAAAUCCAAAUUACCCAACCCCAUGUGAACUAUUGUUUGUUGUCCUUGGGGGAUUGGAGGAAAAGAAUAUAAUAUUUUUUUUUAUAUUUUUGGAUUUCCUUUCCCCCAAAAGAAUCCGGGCACUCCGGUGUUUCGUGAUUCUUGAUAAACUACAGAAUUCUUUUUUUUUGGAAUGACUUUUUAUUAAAAUUAAUAAAAGACAACUUUUAAAGGUGGAUCUCUUGGCUCGU
rnacentral:misc_RNA from 1 species